rnacentral:lncRNA from 7 species
AAUCUUGCUUUCUCCCAUUGAGCAGCAGCAAAAUGUCUUUUAUCAUUUGAGGCAUUAAAUAACUCCAGGGAAAGAGAGCUCCAUGGAAAGAACACCACCCUGCCCUCCUACUAUUAAAUAUUUGAAGUAAUUUCUGAGCGUAAUUUAUCUCUGAAGAAUGUAAUGCCAAAGUCAGGUGAAAAUGGACUUCCCUCACUGAAGAGAUCCUACCCUCGUCUGCCUCUAAUUUUUGAUUCAGCACUUUCUGAUUUUUGAAAAGCGCGUAAUGAAUCAUUGGCCAAUAUUAAUAGUAACAAACUUUUCUCAUUUGGAAUGGACUCAUUACCACUCCAGCUGCCAGCUUUGUGAUUACAAAGAAGUUGCCAGCAGCAGGCUUGUCCAUGCAUUGGUUUGCAUAAAGAAGGGCUGUCAGAUUCUCAUUCAUAUUACAUCCCUUUCGCAGCACACCAAAAUGGGGAGAUGAAGAAAAAAAUACUAAACUCAGAACAAGGAAACAAGGAGUAAAGAAAGGAGGAGCUGCUGAAGAGAACAUGACCAGGUAGAAUACUGCCGUGAAGUGUGAAGGAAAGAGUUUAUGUGGUUAUGAUUGCCUCAGUUCACUUCUGUGUACAUAGCUGGCCUUUUUUUCAUGGGACAUAUCUGUUCAUGUGGUUUUCUUCAGACAAUCUGCCUUAAAAGAUUUCUCCCCGUAGUAGCACCCUGAAUUAACUAUGACACUUACAUUUGUAGCCUGUGAAGCAAUGACAGACCUUGCAGUAAGUAAAAGGGCAUGGAUAUGGGACAUAGAAGGAGCCUACAAGCAAUUUUGUUUCUGCAUUGAUUCUUCAAGCAAGAAAUUUGUAUUUAAAAAUGGGAGAAGAAAGGUGAGACCUCGAUUAGAAAAUAGCAGAACUUCUGUACUUUACAGGACCACCAAUUCAGAGGCUGAAACGGGAGAAAUAACUAAGACAAGGAAGGCAAAUGCAAGAAGAGGAACUGUUAGCAAGAAAUGACUGGUAACCUACCAAGAUAAAAGCCACGGUGUGUCAUGUUCUGCCCUGACUGCCAUUGCCACUGGAGAAUCACAGACAUUAAAAGAAACUAAGGGGGAUGUGAGCUCUCUGGUCCUUGGACUGCCAAUACUGCUUCUGUGCUGAAAGGCAGAACUCACUGCUGGGGACCCCAGAAUGUAUUCCCAACUCCCAGCUCAUAUUCUGGCCAAACCAGAAGGAGCUGUUGCAGUGACAGAGAGGGGAAUUGUCAGAAAACUGAAAUGCUGUCGAAGUCCAGGAUGUAACAGUUAAAAACAAACAUC